GAGGGUACAGCUCAGUGAUAGAGCAUUCGCCUGCUAAUCGAGAGAUCCCCGGUUCAAAUCAAGGUGCCCUCU